GAAUUGACGGGGACCCGCACAAGCGGUGGAGCAUGUGGUUUAAUUCGAAGCAACGCGAAGAACCUUACCAAAUCUUGACAUCCUGUGACAACUCUAGAGAUAGAGCCUUCCCCUUCGGGGGACAAAGGGACAGGUGGUGCAUGGUUGUCGUCAGCUCGUGUCGUGAGAUGUUGGGUUAAGUCCCGCAACGAGCGCAACCCUUAAACUUAGUUGCCAGCAUU
rnacentral:rRNA from 1 species